AUAUUACCGGGCAGGGGUGAUACCAUGAUCAUGAAGGUGGUUUUCCCUGGGCAAGGCUGAUCCAUUGCACUCCGGGUGUGCUGACCUCUGCGGUUUCCCCACAUGUGGGAAGCUCAGCUGCAUAAUUUAUGGUAGUAGGGGACUGCAUUUGCACUCUUCCCUG